AGGAAUUGGCGGGGGAGCACCACAACGGGUGGAGCUUGCGGUUUAAUUGGAUUCAACGCCGGAAAUCUUACCGGGACCGACAGCAAUAUGAAGGCCAGGCUGAAGACUUUGCCGGAUUAGCUGAGAGGUGGUGCAUGGCCGUCGUCAGUUCGUACUGUGAAGCAUCCUGUUAAGUCAGGCAACGAGCGAGACCCACGCCCACAGUUGCCAGCGUACUCUCCGGAGUGACGGGUACACUGUGGGGACCGCCGCUGCUAAAGCGGAGGAAGGAAUGGGCAACGGUAGGUCAGUAUGCCCCGAAUAUCCCGGGCUACACGCGAGCUACAAUGGUUGGUACAAUGGGUAUCUACCCCGAAAGGGGAUGGAAAUCUCCUAAAGCCAAUCUUAGUUCGGAUUGAGGGCUGCAACUCGCCCUCAUGAAGCUGGAAUCCGUAGUAAUCGCGUUUCAACAGAACGCGGUGAAUACGUCCCUGCUCCUUGCACACACCGCCCGUC
rnacentral:rRNA from 1 species